CUACGGGCGGCACCAGUGGGGAAUAUUGGGCAAUGGGCGCAAGCCUGACCCAGCAACGCCGCGUGAGGGAAGAAUGUCUUCGGAUUGUAAACCUCUGUCCUUGGGGACGAAAAAAAUGACGGUACCCAAGGAGGAAGCUCCGGCUAACUACGUGCCAGCAGCCGCGGGAAUACGUAGGGAGCAAGCGUUGUCCGGAAUUAUUGGGCGUAAAGGGUGCGUAGGCGGCGCUGUAAGUCAGAUGUGAAAUCCCCGGGCUUAACUCGGGAGUUGCAUUUGAAACUACAGUGCUUGAGUAAAGAAGGGGUAAGUGGAAUUCCUAGUGUAGCGGUGGAAUGCGUAGAUAUUAGGAGGAACACCAGUGGCGAAGGCGACUUACUGGUCUUUUACUGACGCUGAGGCACGAAAGCGUGGGGAGCAAACAGGAUUAGAUACCCUAGUAGUC
rnacentral:rRNA from 1 species